rnacentral:rRNA from 1 species
UACGGAAGGCAGCAGUGGGGAAUAUUGCACAAUGGGCGCAAGCCUGAUGCAGCCAUGCCGCGUGUAUGAAGAAGGCCUUCGGGUUGUAAAGUACUUUCAGCGGGGAGGAAGGCGAUGCGGUUAAUAACCGCGUCGAUUGACGUUACCCGCAGAAGAAGCACCGGCUAACUCCGUGCCAGCAGCCGCGGUAAUACGGAGGGUGCAAGCGUUAAUCGGAAUUACUGGGCGUAAAGCGCACGCAGGCGGUCUGUUAAGUCAGAUGUGAAAUCCCCGGGGCUUAACCUGGGAACUGCAUUUUGAAACUGGCAGGCUUGAGUCUUGUAGAGGGGGUAGAAUUCCAGGUGUAGCGGUGAAAUGCGUAGAGAUCUGGAGGAAUACCGGUGGCGAAGGCGGCCCCUGGGACAAGACUGACGCUCAGGUGCGAAAGCGUGGGGAGCAAACGAGGAUUAGGAUACC